rnacentral:rRNA from 1 species
UCAUGGAAAAAAAACAUUAAUGCACUAGAUCCCAUUAGAACUUCGCAGUUAAACGUGCUUCGAUUAAAGUAGUACUGGGAUGGGUGACCUCCCAGGAAGUCAAGUAGUAUUUUUCAUGCC